rnacentral:lncRNA from 1 species
UGUUUAUAACAAUUACGUAAAAUUUCAAGAAAAAUUUAUUAUGGUCACCAUGCAAUUGUGGAUAAUUCUAUAACGAUAAUAUUGUGACUGCAAUUAUGGUUGCCGAAUAACUUGUAAUAUUUUUAUUGACUAACCCUUUUUAUUGAAUUUUGUGCAUGGUAUUAGGUGUGGCCACCCAUUGGGUUGAAAAAGUUUGAGACUCUUUCUUACUUGCCACCACUCACCACAGAGUCUUUGGCAAAGGAAGUAGAUUACCUUAUUAGGAAUGGAUGGGUUCCUUGCUUGGAAUUUGAGUUGGAGGUUAAUUUUCCUUCUGCCUCUUUCUCUUGUUUUAGAUGUUACUCACACAUACAUGAUUAUUUUGUAUUUAUCAUAAUUAUAGAAAAUUGUAAGAAAAUGUUAUUGACUAAGGAUUAUCCAUGGGAGAGAAAGGUGCUACAUAAAUAAAAGGAAAAACAAUAUCCAAAACACUUUUAUCAUUUUAUUCACAAAAUAAUAUUUUUGUCACAGAACUUCACACUCCAAUAAUAAAGUGAAAGUUGAGGUCUAUAAUUUAAAGCAAUAAAUUUACCUCUUUUCUUUAUAUCUAACUCCGAGUGAGACAUAUCUCAAAUGCUAGAGAAAAUGAGAUCUAGAGUAGGAGGAUAUUUUAAUCUUUUAAAUUGUGGGUACAAGAAUUACAUUGCAUUUAUUACUACUUAUUACAAUUUGGGUUGGUGUGCCAUUCCCUAUAUCACAUUGUAAUUUAAAACAUUAUACAUUUUACUAAUAGGGUUAUCAUUAUUGCAUUUGUUACUAUGAUUAUUGUAAUGUAAAACAUUAUACCUUGUAGUAAUAGGCAUAACACCAGUAUCACAAACUUUCUAACAGCAUUAUGUUAUUGACUUUAAUUUAUCAAUAACAUUAUUAAUCAUCCCAAUCAUAGCACAACUAUGCCAUAUAUAUCUCAUGAGACACCAUAUAUUUCCACCUAUGCUAUAGUACAACACAUCCUAAAUAUUAACAAUUUUUUUGGUACUACCAAUAUUAUUCCCACAUUUUGGGUAAGAUACUAAUUCUUUUUGGGAUGUACGAUUGUCUCACCCAACAAGUGUCACUCACGAGAAUUGAACCCUAACCUUUUGGUCAUUUUGGGAUCUAACGUAGUCUUACACUAGUAGAUCAAUGUCGUGUUGGUAAUAAAUGUUAACAAAUAAUGAAAAGAUGGUAUUAUAGAUUCUUAAUUAUGAACAUUGAUGGGUAAUUUGUUUGUUUAUUUUGCAUGCUAUGUGUGUGUAUAGCAUGGUUUUGUGUACCGUGAGCACAACAAAUCACCAGGAUACUAUGAUGGAAGAUACUGGACAAUGUGGAAGUUACCUAUGUUUGGAUGCACUGAUUCAGCACAAGUGUUGAAGGAACUUGAAGAGGCUAAGACGGAAUACCCAAAUUCCUUCAUUCGUAUCAUUGGAUUCGACAACAAGCGUCAAGUUCAGUGUGUCAGUUUCAUUGCCUACAAGCCCCCAAGUUUCUAAGUUUCUUAAAUUUGCAUGCAAUUUGUACUUAACCAUUGUCAUGAGAACUACCUUUUGUUUUUAAAUUCCAACCAUGUUUGUUUGUAAUUUUUGGUUUUUGAGGUUUCAUCCUGUACUUUGGUUUCUGAUUUCGGAUUUCAUCGAUGGAUGAGAACUUAUGAAUAAAAUGUGUCUUUUAUUGUCAAGAGAAACCCAUUAUCCUUUAUUUACUUGCAGAUGGGUUGAAAUUAUGCUUAUUAGAAGGAAAAAGCUAUGAGAUUGUCUAUAAAAUAAACAAGCAAGGAUAUAUCAAUAUAUGCAUUUUAUCAAAUUAAUAGUGGAUAUAUCUUCAUUUGUUUAAGGUAUUAGAGGAUUAUGUUGAGAAUUAAGUUUCACAUUAUCUGCCUUAUUCUCUUAGGUGUAGUUUGAAUAGGUUAUUCCUCAUUGAGAUGAAAACUUACAUAGUCUAAUGUGUUAAACAUUAGUUAAGAAGGGCUUUUACUUUGUCACACAUUUCAGGCAUAAAUGUUCUUAUUAUUUGGUCCUCCAAUAUAUCUAAAAACAUAGUGCACACAUGCAGUUUCUUCAAAAUAAUAAUAAAUUAAAUUUCUACACAUUGUCAAGAAGAUCCUAAACUUCAAAAAUCAAAUAUGAAUGAUAGAAUUCUUGGUUACCAUGGAUAUUUUUAUAUUUUUUAUUAUGAGUAAUAUUUACAUACAACUUUUGCACUUUCUUAAUGGGAUAUAGUUGUGAAGGGAUAGUAACUUAUCUUGACUCUUUGGGCUGCAUUAAUGCUUAGACUUGACCCUUUAGGUAUCUAUAUUUGUGGACAAGGAUUCAUUAAGAUAAAGAACUAGAUAAGAACUGCUACCACCUUUAACACCGGAAGACCCUACGUUUAUCAAACUUGACAAAUACAAGGACCAUAGGAUUUCAUAUAUACCUUUGGAAACUUGAAAUUAUGUAGGACACGCUCUAUUCAUGCUUUACACAAUUAUACUUCAAUUUAAGGAGAAUAAUAGAGAAAACUUUUUUCCAGGGAGGCAAAACUUAUUAUAAAAUAUUUUAAGAGAGAUUAGUCUUAACAAAAUAUUUGAAGAGAACAUUUUAAAAAUAAAGACCAGAUGGCCUUGCUAAAUAUGUGUGGAAGGUCUAUCUUUUUUAUUCAUUAUUUAUGCACUAAUAGUAGUGGAAAAGUUUUUAUAUUGUUGAUGUAUCAUUCACCCUUUAUAUUUAAUUAUUAUUAAAUUUUAAAUGUAAAUAAUACAAAUGAAUAUUAGAUUAUAUACUAGAGUGAAAAAAUUAUACUCAAUAUUGCACUCUUUUACUAUAGUGUCUAGCUUGAUUAGGGAUGGCAAGUGAAUAGAUCAAGGUUGGGUUUGUAUUUGCCUAACCCGAACCCGGCCAUAGCAAGACUAAAAAAAUAGAUUAUCAUCCUCGCCCACGUUUGAUUCAAGUCAUUCUAACCAUAUCAAACUCACCUAGUGUUCUUCUACGUGGUGUCAGAACUCAGAAGGUUGAGGCGGGCAGUAGCCGGGCUAGAGGUCUUUCCUUAAGUUCCCGAGCUAAGCUUGGGUCGGGCAAUAGAUGGGCAAGAGUACUGCUUGGAGUUGCUUGAGUUGAGCUUGGGCUGGCAAUAGCAGGGAAGGAUAAAGGGUGAUAAAUGGCAAGAGUAAUAGCUCAACAUAUAUGGGAAUGAUGUUCUUCCUUAUAGGGUAGAUCCCAUAAUUAUAGUGGGGUGGAUGGAAUAUUCUCUUGCUAAUGAUAUUGGCAUGACCGACCAUUUGGGUUUGUCGAUCUACUUUGACUGAUUUGGAGACUGCUCUAUCCAUGUCUGGUGGCCUGAUCAGACUAUACUUUGAGUAUAGUUAACUUAUAGCCUGUAAUAGGCUUAGAAGCCGUAGUUUAGACAUGUCCUUUCUAUAAAGCAGUGAGUUAGGUGAGAGUUGCAGGCGACAUGCAGCAUGUGUCUGUCGUAGGUGGUGUGGCAACCAUGUGUUGGCAGAGUGACAGAGAGGUGGCAGAGGUUUGGUCAAGUAUAGGCUCAUGGGAUUGUGUCUGAGCGACGAUGGGUCUUCUGGUGUAGUUCGGUUGGUCAGCUUGCACCAUAAGUCCUUGUAGUAUAAGUCCUCAUCAGGCACUCGACCUUGGCCGACCUUGAGUACCCUAGCCCAGUUAAGAGUAGAGCAAUUUAACAGAGGUGGAACACCUGCAACAUACUACUUAUAUUUUUUCUCUGUUACUCAUAUGUUAUAUAACUAGAACAAUACUAUAAUUUGAAAUUAAUUAUAUAAAUCGAGUUUAAGUCAGGUUAAGGGUCUAAUAUCACCUAUACCAAAUCCGAACCUAAUAUUUUAAAUUAGAAAAAACUAUAAUCCAAAAAAAUGAGUUUUAUUUGUUAAAUUUGUGCUAAGUUCGAAUAAGUACCCACAAAUUUUAGUUAUGUUCUUAUCCUUCAGCAAGCAUAAGUGAGAUCAUAACUUUACUAUUAGGUUAUGAUUAAGACUAUCAUUUUAAUGUGUCACGACUCAUAUAACUUUUACUUAUCAUGAGAUUGAUUUCUUUAAUUUAUUUUAAAAAAAUCUUGGAAAUUUCUUGACAUUUCAGCAUCCUUGACAUUUCAGCCAAGCGAUUGUAACUCCUUCAUAACAAGAGAAAACUUCUCUAGACACAGCCCAAACACGUCAUCUUUAGAGAUACAAUUAAACAAUGACACGUCAUUAAAUUGUGGGUUUCACUUUAUUAAUUCGGAUUCUUUUUUAAUACUCUUUCUCUUUUUCUCUUCAUUCUCUCCACCAUUAAAUUGUGGGUCCCACUUCAUUAAUUCAGCUUUAAUGGUGGAGAGAAUUGAGAGGAAGAGAGAAAGAAUAUGAAAAAAGAAUCUGAAUUAAUGAAGUGAGACCUAUAAUUUAAUAAUGUGUCAUUGUUUAACUAUGUGUUUCUAAAGAUAACGUGUUAGGGCUAUCUCUAGACAAGUUUUUCUCCCGUAACAAAUGUCAUAAUCAGUCUGCCUUGGAAAUUUAAGUUGUGGGGAGAGAUAUACAUAAUUUUUUAUUUAAGCUAAAAGUAUGAGUAAUAUAUAUCUUAUGAUUAGGUAAAAUGUUUAAGAAAUAAAAUCAAAUUGACAAUUCAAGUCUCACCCAACCAAAAUACUAACAUAAUUAGUAUUUGUCGAUAAAAAAACAUAAGUAAAAAAAUCUAUAAUAUUAAAAACAUAAUUUACAUAUUUAUUGUGGCAUACUUAUUUAAAUUAUAUACAGAAUUUUAUAAGCAAAACUACUAAAUUAAUCAUCUAAGUUAUUUUUUGUUUUUAAUUUGAUAAUGUAACUUUUUUUAUUGUUCCAUCUUUGUCCUGCCAAUUAAUAUGUUUUUCUUCAAACUCUUUCAAUUCUCAAUUAAAACUCACAAUAUUGGUAUCAUUGUGUUCAGAAUGAAAAGAUUUACAAAUUCUCCCUGUGUGAAUACACACCAUUAAAAAUUGAAUUUUAAACUUGGAAAGUAAUAAAAAAAACAACUUAUAUGAUCCAUUUGAAAAUAUAAAUAACUUAAAGGGCUAGUUCAAAAAUAGAAAAUAACUUAACAUCUAUUAGAAAAAACAUUUGGUACCAAUUUAGUAGAUUUGCCUACUUUCAUAUUAUAACAAGAGUUUAAUGCAUGGGCAUGGACACUGUGGAGUUUUACUUAGUCCUCACAUCAAUCUUCACUCUGUACAUUAUUUUUAUUUUAAAGUUAAUAAUCAUAAAUAAAUUAAAAUUGGUCUAUAUGUAUUUGAUAUUAUAUAUAAUUGGUUUUAAGUUCAGAUAAAAAGUAAAAGUUAAGUUAGACAAUCAAUAAGUAAAAUAAAUCUUUGUUGAAUUUUAUGAUACUAUAAUUAUAGUAAGAUGGAAUGUUAAUAUAUAGAAAAAAUUACUUGUGAGUGCAAAACCAAUUAGAUGAUUAAUAAAAGUGAGAGAGAGAUUAAAAAAAAGCCAUACAAGAUUUAUCCAAUAACAUGUUUGAUUGCAUGGUUUGGUAAAUAAGGUUUUAAGGCUUUUACUUUUGAAUGCCCUCUAAAUAUAAUUUACAUUCACACAAUCAAACAACAAAUAUAUAUACUUUUAAAAAAACUUGGUGGGGCACUUGUCCACUAUCACUAAUGUAGAUCCAUCAUUGGUCAUAAUCAUAUGUGAUAUAUAUGAUUUAUGAUUUAUUUGGUUGUUUCUGGUAUAUCCUCUCAAUGAUAUAUACAGCUAUACACUGAACAGAAAAUAGAAAACAUGUUGAGCAAGUUGCUUUAUUGAUCUUUUAUAAUUAGGGCAGGUUCAUUAGUUUAAGACAUAGUAAAUAUUUCUAAAAGGAAUAAAGUGUCUUCUAGUAUAAGAAGAUGAGUUUUAUUUUUUUAUUAGCAAUGAUAUAUUAAAAGAAAAAACGUUAGGAGAACAAGUGGUACUCCUAUCCACGCAAAAUUAUACACGCCAAUUCAAAUCAUGAAAUGUGUUAGAUAAGUUAUCUCAUUCAUCCAUUAAAAUCAUGAAAUGUGUUAUAUUUAAUGAUUUUCUAUAAAAAUAUUUCUAAAAACUAAACAAAGUAAUACAAAUGUCAUACUCUUAGUGGUCAGAGGUGAUAAGUUAUCUCCUUAUAUGAUGAGACAUUUUAUUCUCAUUUAUAAAUUAAAAAACAUUAAUAGUUAGACGUUGAUCUAGUAGUGUAAGACUUCAUUAAAUCUCUAGAAUGACCAAAAGAUUAAGGGUUCGAUUUCUAAAAGCGAUAUUUGUUAGGAGGACAAUCAUAUACUCUAAAAUGGAUUAGUUUCUUACCCAAAAUAUUAUAAAGCCUUGGUUGUACAAAAAAAACAUUGAUCCCACAUAGAGAAAUUUCAUGAUUAGAUGAAUCCAAGCACUUCACUUUUUUACAAGAGUCUUUCUAUUUGGUUUUGGUCGGCAAUGGAGAGAAAACCAAAGAGAAAAGGGUCACAGGGCUUAGCCACUUGCAUGUGCUGGGACAAAAACAAAAGGGACCAUUACAUCAUGUUCCAUUUUUAUUACCAUCACCAGUUCUUUGAAGUUUGCAAUUCAGUCCUCAAAUCAAUAUUCAUUAUAAUAAACAAGUAUAUUGACAGACAUUUUAUUGUUCAAGGUUCCGUAUUUACCUGUAAAAUUUUACAUGCUUUCAAUGUCGAAUAUACUAAUUUCAGAUAGAGAAUAAUGUAUCUUCUCAUAUCAAGAGAUAACUUAUCUUUUUCAGUUAGUAAAAAUGUGAUAUGUGUUAUUUUGUUUAUUUUUAAAAACAUUUUUAUAGAAAAUGAUGAAACAAGACACAUGUCAUGAUUUCAUUGGCAGGAGGAGAUAACUUAUAUCCUUAUACCAGAAGAUACUUCAUUCCCUUUCGGAUAACUUUGCCUAUUAUUUGUAAAAAAAUGUGCACUAAAAAAACAGCCACUCCUUCCCCUCUUCUGUUUUAUUAACACCUCACUCCAAAUCCUUAACUUCCUGUUUAGUGCACUUUGCCACGUCUGGGUCUUAGUAAUAAAAUGUAAUGAUGAGAAAAGGGAACAACAUUUAAUUAAGAGAAAUACGUGGUUGGUAAGUAAUUAAAAGAAAAUUUACAUAUAUCAUAAAUAAAUAGUAUAUAUAAUCAUGUCUAACUUUGUGUGAUGUAAUUAUAGACUAUUAAAUUGCAUUCAACAUAAUCUAAUGAAAAACAUUAUAAUUAUGCACUAUUAAAUUGCAUUCAACAUAAUCUAAUGACAUAAAAUCUAAUAAGAUAUUUCAAUUACAUAUUAAAGUCGUAUUCAAAAUUCAAAUCAUAUAAUUAUGUAAUAUCUUCUAUCAUUUGAUAAUAUAGUCGUAGAAAUUCGAAUGGAUCUUUGAGUCUGAUGUCCUUGUUUGAAUGAAUUCAUGACCAUCUUAAUGGGGAACCAGGAUCUUGUGUCACUAGACAUUUUUGUCCCCAUAUCUAAUUCAAUCAAAUCUUACCAUAUAUAUAUAUAUAUAUAAAUUGUAUUUAUGAUUUUUCUUUUUAAACAUGUGAUAACUUUUAAUUAGGACACAAUAAGAUAUAAAAAGGGACGUGUGAUCUUCAUUUUUUAAUGGUGUUCCCAAUCAAAUGAUUCCAUUAUCAUUUAAGAGUUUCAAUUAUUGGUAAAAAGAGGCAUGGAAAUCUUCAAAUGAAAUUGAUCCAAAAAAUGCUUAGUAAAAAAUGAAUGAGAAUGAAGUGAAGAAAUGAAAUGAGAUGGGUGUCUCAUAAAAUAAUCUGAUGAGUAAGGUGGAGAGUUAAAGGAAUGAAGUGAAUGAGGUUUUGCGUUCGAAUCUUAUUAUAAUAAAUUCAAAAAAAAAUAUUAUAAAGUAAUUUGAUGAUUAAAGAGAAAUGAUAGUGAAUGAAGUUGAGGGUUCGAAUCUCUCUUGCAACAUAGACUUUUUUAUUCAAUCAUAAAGGGAGAAGAAUGAAAAUGGUGACUUGAUUUAUUAACUUCUAAAAAUGAUAAAUGUAAUAAAAAUUAUAUUUGUUCAAUUCCUUAUAUAUCCUUUAUGCAUGUAUUGCAUUUAUAUAACAGUAUAAAUAUUUCAAACUUAUUAGUAGAACUAGUUUUUAACUCAUGGCAUGCAAGUAUUGUUAAAUUUUAACAAUAGUGAUUGUCUCCAUGGUUGAAAAUUUAUUUAUGCAUUAAUUUUCUGAAGGAAAUUUUCUGGUUUAAUUUCAUUUUUUUGAGUAGUUGCACUCCUCAGAUAAAGGGCUUGAUAGAUGUUAAAUACAUAAUUACUAUAUAAUAAGAUAGUUGAUUUUAACAACUCAGGUAUGACAAAAGCUGAAAGUAUUAGAGAUAUGAAUAAAGAUUUCUUGUCGCUUGCCUCAUAUACUUUUUGUGUUAAAAAUAAUAUGAUAUGUAAUUUAAAAUUUUAAAUAUUUAUUAUUAAAUUGUUUUUGUUAUUGCAAAUCUCUAUUCCAUAUAUAUAAUGAUUGAAUAUACUUUCAGAUUGAAUUAUAUUGACACUAGAUAGAGAGCAUGUUUGUCCGGUUGUUUUGGUGGGUGUAUAUUAAGUGACCAGCCAUGUAAAUACAGGACCAUAAUCAUACUUUUAAAAACAACAAAAAUAGCUUGCUUUACUUUGAUCACUUUCAUCUUCUUCUACAUCUUCUCUAUUCCAUUCAUUGUUCCCAUGAGCAAUCCAAUAAGUUGUUCCAUGUGACAUCAUUAAUUCAUUAGACCCACAUAUUUUGACCCUUAGUGUGUACCACAUUCAUUCUUCAUUUGCUACUAAAAUAUAAAUUAACUUUAUAUUAUUUAAACAAUAGAACUAAAUAAAGUGUAUAUAAAGUGGUACAUAUUUUAAGACAAAAAAUGUACUUCUUACAAAAUUUUAAUCUUAAAGGUCUUCUCUUGGAAUACACCUCACCAAAUAUUGAAUGAAAAUAUUUUUGGAAUGAGAUCCAAUCUAGUAAUAGACUUUCUAAUACUGAAAUAUGGGAGAAUAGAUAAAUUUAAAAGUUCUUAACUUAUUUAAUUUAAAAUAAUAGAAAAUUAUGUGUUAGAAUAUGACCGUAGUAUUAGACUUUUUAGCGUUGGAGAGGAUCUCAGCCAUUCAUCGUAAAUUGUAACUAAUUUGUAGUGUAUUGGAAUUGUGGGGUAUAUAUGCAAAAUCAUCAUGUGCUCAUGCAUUUCAAUGCACAUGUAUGAAGAGGACAAUCUUCCUAGGCCAACUGCAAACUUAUAUAGUCCUAGGAGAUGAGAUAAGUACUAUGGUUAUCUAUUGGUAAUAGACAUGCAAUUACCCUCCCAUACUUUUAGGGAUAAUGUGAAAGGCAUUCUAUUAGAAUAAUACAAUGAUGUUAUUGAAUUUAAGAUUUAGAUGAGACACAUACAUAUAGGUAACUACAUGAUACAUCACUAAAAUAUAUGAUAACAAGAAGCUAGUGAGAUGAAAUUGAGGGGAAGAGAGUUAGGUCUAUAAUCAAAAUUGAGCAUGUUCAAUACCACCUCCACAAACAAAAUAAGACAUCAACAAAGAUUAUGUGAGUGUUGCAUUGUUGGCUGCAAUAUUUAUCAGUUGAGAUAACCUCUCCUUGUAAAGCACAAAUAAAUAGGGAGACAUGAGAUCACACUAGUGGGUACCUUUUGUGCAACAAAAGGUUCAAGUUGUAAAAAUUGUAUCUCAUAUAUAGGUUUAAUAGUUAAAUUAUACUGACUAAAUUUUGGAAGAAAUGUCAUUUUGUUAUCAUAUUACUUCUAUUUGAAUAAUAAAUGGAAUCAAAUAGAUAUUAUAUUAAAAAAUAUGACUAUUUCUAAAGUCAUCUUACAUGAAUGGUUAUGUAAAAUGGUUUAACCUUUGGAAAGUCAUUUUCCAUGAAGAAAGGUAUGUGAUGAACCAUUGUGUGAGACUUUUUCAAGACUUCAUCUUCUUAUAUUAAAACUCUUAAAUCUCUUGAUUUAUUACUUAUGAAUGAUAUGAUAUUCUAGAGUUUUUUAUGUUUUGCAUUGAGUUGUAAUAUGCACAACUAAGGUGUAAGAUUGUUACAACAAGGUUAGUUCUUGGAAAAAAAAGACUAUUUGGAGUGAGGUAUCUCAAAUUUAAAUGAAGAUGUGAGUUCUUUGUAAAUAGAGUUGUUGUUGAGGGUAAUUCAACAAGGGUAGAUCUAGAAUUGAGAUAGGAUUGUAAGUGGUUGCUUAUAUUCAAAAACUCAUAUUAAAAGUUUUUUCUAGUAUAAUCAAUAAGGUAAGAAAGUAAUCAUUUUUAAUCAGAUAGCGAGGUAAUUUAUCUCAAUAAAUAUCAAUAUCAGGAAUCAAACAUUUGACUUCUAUAUUAAAAGUAUUACUAUUGUAAUUCCUUGUAAAAUAUUUGUCAACUCUUAACUUAAAUUAAUAUAAACUGAUUUUUUGGAGUUUUCAAACUGUCAUAAUUACACUCUAAGUCCAAUUUUUAUUUUAAGCUUUUAACAUCAGUCCAAAGCAUAUAGUAACAGUACUGACAUAUAAAUAUCUCCAAUUGGGGUAUAAUGGUAAUAACGAAUAGAAAUAAGUUGGAGAUUUAAUGAAACUAAAACAGCAACUAAACUUGCCAAAAGUUGCAUCAUCAAUCUUAGAAAAUUGGAGUUGACUUACUUAAAAUUGGUUCAAACAAAGAUUGUCUAGAGUGGGUCCUUGGCUUGAAUUAUAUACAUAGGUUUAUUCCUUGCUGCUUUUCUCAGCAUUGGAUUUGGUUGAUAUAUCUCAAUCCCUUGAUUUGUGGUAUCAAUAAUAUUGUCUCUAUUAGUGUGGCUAUUAACAAAAGUAGAUGAUUCUCUUGUCUUUGGCUAUUACAAUUUCAGUAUAUUCAAAGUACUUCGUUCUCUACUAAUAUGGGCGUUGGAUCAAGUGAUACAUAUUUGAAUCCCCUUAAGCAAGAACUCGGGUUCGAGUUUUGUGGAUGGAAAAAAUGUCCGUCGAUGGAAAAAAUGUCCGUCAGGAGAAUUAGCCCUACGUACCUGUGGAUAUUACCGGUUCGGACAGGAUUGCCUCCAGUGCGAGGAUACAUGUGGAAACAAAAAAGUACUUUGUUCUCUCUUGUUUUGUAUUUGAUUUUAUAAUAACUACAUUAUAUGUGAUAAGAUACUAAAAUUUGCUUAAAUAGUAACAUUAAUGUUGGUCUAGUUGUGUAAGUUUCACUAGAUUAUUGUUUAUUAUACUGGGUCAAAAAUUUAUUUCUUGAGAGCAACAUUUGUUAGAAUAGACAAUCAUGCACCCUGAAAUUUAUUUCUUGAGAGCAACAUUUUCAAUAAUCAAUACAGCAAAAUGAAAGAAAAUCCAUGGACCAAAUGAGGUUCAACUUAUUUCUAAUAAACUUCAAAACAUUAUUAUGAAAUCUUUUUUUUUUAUCCCAGGGGUACCAAGGAAAUUCUUAAAGAAAAUAAGAAAAUGUGUAUGAUAAAAAAUGAACAUGAAAGUUGAAACCAUGCAGUGUUACUCUAUUCAACCUAUCACAAAGGUGCUUAUUCUACAUACAUCAAACAUCAAAAUUGAUACCAAAAACUUAAAUGGUAAUAUACAAAUAUUACAAAUAGCAUUCCUGAUUAGAAAUACCAUAUUACUUCAUUAAAUAGAUAUAAUUUCACAUUUAGCUAAAUAUAUUUACAAGGAAUGUAAGCAAAAUCACCAACUCUCUAUACAUUACAUUCUAGUGGUGAUCACCAAAAAUAAAUUUAGAAGACACUCAGACCUAACUGCUUUAUAUAUUACAAAAGAACAUGACUCUUACAUACCAAACCUUCUCAAGAUUUGUUUUUUCUGCAUUUCUCUUACACUACUACUCAAAAGAUAUUCUUUCUGGUUAAGUCAUUUAUAUAACUGGUCACACUUGGGCUCCUUUAUCUACACUUUUCUUGAUGGAGUUUAGGCAACAGCAGUGAUGCCGGAAUUCUGGCGAUCCCUGUUGAGGCAAUCAAAUCCUUCUACUCUAACUGCAGCUGGUUUAAGUCCAAAACUCGUCCGAACACAUCCACCUUUACGAGAUGCUGAAGACGGAGAGGAUAAACCGGAUGGUGACAUAGGAGUAUGCUUUUCAUCUCCAAAUCGAGCAUCCUGGAUCAAUGGGUUAGCAGCCCGGACAGGAGGAGAGCCACGGAAAUAUGGAGGAGAUGAGGCUACCUGAUUUGAUAUUUCAUCCCCAUGACUUUCCUGUUGAAAUCGAGAUACAAUUAAUAAACCAAUAUUGAGUCAAAGAACAUUCAUUAGAUCAAAAUCUAAAUAUAUGGAAAGACUACAUCUCUUUCAGCCAAAAUCAGAAUUAUGAACAUGAAAUAUAUCAAAACUUGUCUUCCCAAAGAAACAAAGCAUAUAUCAUAAUUCAUGUUGAAAAUUCAUACAUAGUAACAUCGAGUAAUGAAUUCAAAAUUUAUGGAAAACUAAAUCUCUUUCAGCCCAAAACCAUUCUAAGAAGUUACGAAAUAUCAAAACUUCUAACCUCAAAGAAAGCAUUUAUCAUAUUAAAAAUUCAUGCAUUAUUAGUAAUGUCUCGUAAGAAGUCAUAAACUAUUAAUGCCCCGACAAUUUUUCCCACUUGAAAUUUCUUUACCUGCCUACUAGGUUCAAACUAUAAACUUAGAUCGUGAGACUAUUGGCACUCCCAUAUGCCUAUUCACACUCCUCUUUAACCAAUCAUAAUUUAAUAAACUAAAAAACUUGAUCGGUAAGGUCGUAAGGAGUGUGAAUAGGCAUUUUGGGGUGUCAAUAGCCCUACACCUAGAUCAUUUGUAAUGAAAUCAUAAGUUACCUUCUUGAAAAUAAUGUCCAGCAGAUCUGCCCCGGCUUUUGAAUCAGACCAAUCAGCUUGUUGACUAAAACAAAUUGAAACACAUAACAGAUUAGAUCCUCAAAGAGAUUUAAAAUAAAACAAUAUCAUCAAAACUUAAACGACAAGCAAUAGAUUCUAGGAUUUACUUCAAAUGCCAUCUUAAGGGCCUAAUAGCCAUGUUAGAUAAAACCCCGACUCGGCGUGGCUUAGGGCAAACGACAGACUCCUUCUGAUCUGAUAGGUUAACAGAGCCUCUCAUCUCUUCACAGGCUGCGAAGGCAUUCUGACGAAGACUGUAAUAGUUCAUCUUCAAAUUUGGUUUUAUUGCAGAGUAGAGCGCCUAAACACACAAAAUAGAACAUAUAAACUAAGAAAAUGUCCGAAUAUAUACACAAAAAGAAGAAGAUAAGGCUUCAAUUUAUGAACAUUUCCAUUUAUCCUGAUCAAUAAAAUUAAAAAAAAAUAAAGUAGUGAAAGAAUUUCCAAAACCCAUUUCACUCUUUUCAAUUUUCAAAACCUGCAGACAAGGGUAUAAUCAUAUGCACAGAUUAACAAUAGAUCUGAUCUCAAACCUUGAAAAAGGUUCAAACUUUGACCCUGAUGAUGAAAAUUCCAUGAUAAAUCAGUAAAUAUCCAACAUUUAAUAAUUUAAGUUACCCACCUAAAAAUCAAUGCACCCCUUUAAAAAAUGUAACCAUAGAACAAAAAAAUGGGGUUUUCAUUAUACUCUUCUUCAAUUACUGAACAAAAAACCAUUUUCUUAAGAAAACAGACAAAAAAAGAAAGAAGAUCAAACAUUUGACCAGAUCUGUCCCAAAAAAAACAUGCCAUGUUUGUCAUUUCAAAUUUCAAACAAUACCCAUUUAUUAAAAUUUGAAGAAACUUUGGUAUUAGAAAAUGGGUCAGAUCUGAAACUAUAAACAAAAAAAUGUGGAAAAAAAAACAUGAACAUGUUAGAGAGAGAGAGAGAGAGACCUUUGAGGGAAUCCUGUGAAAGAAGAAAUCAAAGGAGCUGGCAGCAAUGUGGAAGGAGAGGAAGAAAACACUGUCAACUCAAUCUUUCAAUUUAUAGUAUAGAAUUAUGUUGUAAAAUGACCUUGUACGACGUCGUUUACACUACAUUGUAUUUAUAAUAGUUUUUUUAUUGUUUUGUCAAUUAAUUAUAAUAUACUAGGACAAUGUUUCAUGCACUUGCAAAUUGCAAUUACCAGCUAUAGCCAGUAGAUUUAUAAUAUAAUUAAUUUUCUUAAAAAAAAGUUGUUGGGUUGUGAUAUGUAAAAAUGUUUUUUCUUCUAGAAACAAAGCUUAUGUGGCAUAAUAUUUACUCUUAAAUAUAGAUUUGUUUGUACUAAAGAUGAUUUUUAAUCUUUAAAAAACUUGUGAAUUGCUAUUGUUUGUUUACUUUAUAGCUCACUAUUGAUUUAGGGAUAACUGCUUCUAAUCGAAAAAUAUUACAUUAGCUAAAUCAAAUUAGGUAUGUGUUAGAUGUUUGCAUGUUUAUUGUUAUAGGUGCAAAUUAGUUGAAUCAAGUUUGGUUCAAUUCAAUUUUUUGUCCAUGACUUGCUCAAUUCAACUUAACACAUUAAGGAGUCAUUCAUGAACUUUUGAGCAAGUUAAUUUACUCAAAUUUAUGUCAAUGAAUAACUCCAAUAAUAAUCAUUUAUAAAGAUUUAGAGAAAAAAAAUUAUUACUAACCGUGUAAAAUUUUUAUAUGCUGUUACUUCAUCAUUCAUUUUUAAAGAGAAAUAAUUUUUUACAUCAACAAUGUAUAGAUAUUUCACUCAAAAAUUUAAUGAGAUUAUUAAUUUUAAUAUUAUAUAUACUAAUAUAAAAAGUAGGUAGGUAAUAAUUAUAAUAUAUUUUAAAUAUAUAAAACUGAAUCCUUUAAAUGGUUUGUAUGUAUAUGUUAAUUUUAGUAUAACAUAUACUAUAUCAAUAUAAAAAGUUAAAAACUACUUAAAUUUUUUUAAAUUUGUAAAUAUAAAGAAAAUGGAAUUUGAAAUUGGAAAUAUUAACUUUAAUAUAUACGUGUGUCUGUAAUAUUAUGUUUGUAUGUUAAUAUAAAAAGUAUAUAUAUAAUAAUUAUAAAAUACUUUUAAAAUAUGUUUAUAAUAUAUAUAUAUAUAUGUGAAAUGAUUCAAACAAAAAUAGUUCACAUAUAAAAAUUUUGAUAAAAAUAAAUCUUAGUCAUUUAACUUUACAUAUAUUAUUUAGAUUAAAAGUUAAUUAAUGAUAACAUCCUUUAAAAAGUGAUGUGUGUUUAUAUUUUAAUUUAGAGUAAAUAUUGAUUUUAGUCCCUCAUAUUUUUUUACUUUACCAGUUUAGUCAUUCAAAAAAUGAAAGACUUAAAAUGGUCCAAAAAUUUCAAAUGUGAGUUAAAUUAGUCCUUUUGGGGUCAAAUUAGUGUUUACCAAGUGUUGUAAAACAUGCUAAAAAUGACUAAUUUGACCAACAUUUAAAAUUUGUUGGACCAUUUUAGGUCUUUUCUUUUUUGAAGGAUUAAACUAGUAAGGUUAAAAAAUAUAAGAGACCAAAAUGAGUAUUUACUCUUUAAUCUAAUCAUUCAAUAAUUUACAUAGUUGUCGUUUUUUCUAACAAUAAUAUCACUCAAAUAGUUUUCCUAUAUAUAUUAUUAUAUACACAUAUAUGAUUAGGGAUGGAAUCAAAUAAGAAUAAUUAUCAUAUAAAAACUAAACUUGUAAGAAUAUUAUAUGAUGGGUCAUAUAACCAUGCAUAAUUGUUUAUGAUUAAAAAUUAGUCAAUAGAAAUAUGAUCACUAAAAAAGGGAGCACAUUUGUUAUCUUAGAAAGUGUGUUAUUUCAUAUGUCAUUACUUAUGAUUGAUUAAAAAUGAUUUUAAGUUAAAAUUUUAAUAAUUGAAUAAUUUUUUUACCAAUUAAAAAAGAUCAAAUGAUUCAUAUUAAUUAUUCUUAUUUUCAACGAUCAAAAUAAUCAUCUACAUAGUGAAUCAAAUUUUAAACAAAUGUCCAAUGAAUUUAGUUCAUUUUCCGUCCUACUUACUUUGUUUAAUUAACCAAGCAAUUUACAUCCUUGCAAAUAAAUUCAUGGUAUUUGAUAUAUUAGGUUGUUGUACUAUUCUCACUUUUAAUAAAUUAAUUGAUAUAUUAGGCACUAAAGUAAUGAUUAAUUAAACAAAAUAAUUCAAUAAAGUAAUCAGUCUUAUUAAAUUUGGACUGAUCAAUGAUUCAGUUAGGAUAUUAAAUCACUGGUCCAACGAGUGAGUCAAUAGUUGGACUAAUUGACUUGAUUUAUAUGAAUGUUUUAAAAAAUCAUAAUACUAACAAAUAUUAUUUAAUAACUUUGUACUCUAAAAUUUAAAACAUUAUCAUACAUGAUUAAACAAUCAACAAAGAAUAUAUCACUACUAUGAAAUGUCACAAGUUGAAAACAUCAUAAAACAACAUAUGUGUUAUGUUUUAAUUGCAACAAAAACAUUAAUUUAAAACUUUAAUUAAACAACGGAAGUUUUGCUAUAAUGUAAUAUAAUAAAUGACAAAAGUAACUACAAAUAAGUUAAAAUCAUUUCAUUUUUUAUGUCAAAACUACUUGUUUCGAUUGUUUUAAAAAAUAUUUUUUUUUAAUUGACUCAGUUAGUCCAACCAUCCAAGUCACAUGUUUUAAGCAUAAGCCAACAGUGUCGAACUGAGUCAAUCUAACUUAAUACAAAAUCAGUUAGAUUGAAGGCUAGAUCAAUUAGACGUCAAAUUCACAAUUGAAUUGGUUGGACCGACUAGUCCGAGUCAAGUUUUAUAAUAAUGAAAGUAAUGGUUAAAACUCAUAAGGCUUAAUUUUGGCUUGCUCAAUUGACCUUUAUUUCAUGAAUUAUAUUAUUAUAUCUCUAAAAUUAAUCUAUCAUUAUCACUGAUUUAGUGUAUAUCAUUUUCAACACAAUAAUUUUUGUAUAUUUCAUUUUCUAAAUUUCAGUAUAUAUUAUAUAAAUUUUAUUUAUAUUAAUAUUAAUCUACAAUAAUAAAUUUAUUGAAUUAUAAAACAAGUUGCUCGUCCAAACACUAGAAAUAAUAAUAUAAGUAAUUAUUUGUGUGUAAGUUAUUUACAUUUCUGCAUAAUUAAACGUGAUAUAAUAUAAGUAGUGAUAUAUAUUAUUAAAAAAUACACUCACAAAAUUUAAUACAGGUAAGAAGGUGACAUACAUAACUUAAACCAUUAAUAAGUGUAACAUAUAUCCUUUCAAAAGUAAAGUAUGUAAGAAAAGUUAUAAAUAAAGUUUUCUUGAAACAUAUAACAUUUUCUAAAUACAUGCUAGCGAUUACUAACAAAAAUGGACAAAGAAGUUGUGUUACAAUCAGCAGCAAACAUAUGUGUUAAUCAUAUAUCAAUAGUUGUCUAUCACAUUCACUCACCAAUCCUCAAUCAUCUCUUUUUAACCUUCUACCACUACUUUCUCUCCACACAUCUCUCCACUUUUUUUUAUUACUAUCAAGAUAUCCACACACACUAGAAUAACAAACUAAUUUAUUUUGGGUGUGUGAUUUCCAUCUCAAUAACUAUCAUUCAUAAUAAUUAAACCAUUAAUCUUUUAGUUAUCUCAAAAUCUAGUAAAAUCUGACAUUAUUAGACCAACAUCUUGUUGAUCAUAUCUCUCUACCUUGAUCUAUGAGAUAUUUGUAUUACUAAUUAUAUUUAUAUAUUUUUAAAUUAGUUUUAUUUAUAUUUUCAAGUUUUGAUAAAAUAGUAAAAAAGUCAAAUUUCUAAUUUUAUUAUUAAAAAAUCUAUCCUUUUUAAAAUAUUGAAUAUAUUUGGUAUAUCUUUUCAUACCGGUGGAAUUGUUAUGCUUAUAACUCAAAACAAUAUCUUAAACUCUCUAUCAAACAUUAUCGUUAAACAAUACAAACCCAUGAUCAACUUUCUUACUAAGAAAACAAACCAAAAAUAUUAAAUUAAAUUUAAACUUCUCAAUCUUAUAUGAUAAUAAGGAGGGAAUUCACUUGCUCCAAAAGUUCAUUUAAAAAAUUAUUCCAUAUUUUAGUCAUUAAUUUAGAAAUUCUAAUAAUUUAAAUUAGUAAAUAAAUCUAAAUAAUUAGAUUUUCCUAAAAUUAAUGACUAACUAAAUUUUAAAUUUACAUUUGGAAUAAGUCAAUUCACUCUCUAGUAAAAAAGCUACAACAAAGUUUUUAACUUAGUCAUAACAAUAUACUUUCAUUAUAAGAAAACCAAUUAUAAAAGUAAUUUUUAUUCUCUUUUUUUAUUAAUAUUUUUUUUGCAAAUCUAAUUCUUCCAUAUAUUUUACUUUUAAACUUUCGAGUGGGAUUUGGCUUACUUUACAUCGUAACAAAAAACAAUAUAAGAUUUUUAAUUUAUCUAAAUAAAGUAAUGACUAAUUCACCAAAAUAAUUAAAUAAAGUAAUGAUUGAAACCCAUAAGGCUCUCACACCCAUCAAUUCAUUAGGGUUACUUUCUAGAUCACAACCAAAAACAAACAGAUUUUCUGAUUUAUUAUAUUUUGACGAAGUAAUGAUUGAUUAACCAAAAUAAUUAAAUAACAUAAUGAUUAAAACCCAUAAGGCUCUCACACCCAUAAAGUGAUUUGGCUUACUUUCCAGUUUGUAACCAAAAAAACAUCUGAUUUUCUCAUUUAUUUUCAAUAAAGUAAUGAUUAAUUAAACAAAAUAAUUAAAUAAAGUAAUGAUUAAAAGUUAUAAGUCCCUCACCCAUAGAAUAAUGAAUUGGAUUAUUUUCCAAUUGUAAUUAAUACCCUCAAUUUUCUAUUUUCAAUGUGAGUGAAAAAGAUAAAUUUAUUUUUGUAGAGUUAUCUAAGAUUUUUUGGACGGUCAUUUCGUAUUUUGAAUUAUUAUCUAAAAGAUUUAUGAUUUGUUGUUUAUUUUAAAGGGAAAAGUAUAUAAAAAAUGUCUUUAGCAAGUAAUUAUUAUGAACUAUUUUUUCUUCAUAAUUACGCUUUAAACUUUAAUAUUUGGUAAAAUUAGCCUCUCUAUAAAUAUAUUGUUAAAUUGCUUAUAAGUCUACAUAGAAAUGGAUGCAACCAAACUCACAACAGUAGCAAUGUAACAAAACAUGUUACUCACCAUUGAUAUCUACAUAAAUUGCAUCAAAAUAAAAAAUUGACCAAAAAAAUGAUGAUAAUAUUGACACAUAUAUAUAAUUAAAUAAUAAUGAUCUAACAGGGUAAAAAAAUGUAUGAGUUGGAAUUUUUCAUUGCUAUUAAUUUAAAAUUAUCAUCAUACAAAAACCAAUUUCACAAACACUUAAAUUUUAAAGGGUAAUAUGAAAAAAAUAGUUCAUAGUAGUUACUUACGAAAGACCUAAAAUUUAGGAUAUUUGUUUUUAUAGAUUUUCCUAAUUCAAAUAAGUUGUUUUAUCCGUUAUCUCACAACCAAAUUAAUCAAAGUAAUUUUUUAUUAAACAUAGUAUUUAUUAAAAAAAAAUUAAUUCUAGAAUUAGGUACAUGAAAAUUGGUAUUGAAUAUAUUUUAUGAGUAUUUAACGUAUUCAUAAUAAUAUAUUAAGUAACAUAUAACAUUAUUUUAAAUUUAAUUUUGAUUUGAAUAAUUAUGUUAUUAUAAUGUUUAUCAUAAAAUAUAUUAAUCAUAUUUUUUGUUGUUCUUUUGAUCCAUAUUCCUAAUUGUACAAUAUUUUCCUUACAUUUUAAUCUUUUCAAUCUUUUUAUCCAUUUAUUUUUUUUAUUUUUUUACUUUAAACUUUUAUUAUCUACAUUAAUAUUCUUUUAUCCCAAGUUACACCAUACUUAUCUUAUCAUUUAUUUAUUAUAGUAUUAUGUAUAACUCCAUCAUGUAGCUUUAACUUUUAUUAUUUAUAUAUUUGUAUUUACUUUCUAUUUGAGAGUUAUCCUAACAAUCAUAUUUAUGGAUGAUUUUAUCUCCCUUUGGCUUUAUCUUAAUCUUUUUUUAAUAUCUAAUCCCUUAAACUUCAGAUGUGCUUAUCUGACCUCUAUCAACUGCCAUUAUUAAAUUUUUGCAUACUUUCUUCACAUCAAAAAUAACAAAUGUAUUGACACUCUUGAAUUCAUCUCAUAGUUAUUCCACCUUUCUAUAUAUACGUUUUCUUUUAUGUAAUAGUCACACUUCAUCUUUGUUUUACGCAUAGAUGACCUCCACAUAUCAGUACAAAUAAAAAUUUAUACACAUGAUAAAACUUAGUCUCUCUCUUAUUGGGCAUGCAUGUAUCAUCAUACUCAAUCCCAAAUUAUCAAUCAUUAUGAUAUUUCAUCUUGCUCUAGGUAACCCUCUUGUUUACCUAUUCAUUUAUUUAUUAUUAGUUAAAUUUUGUCUUACUUUAAUAUCUAAUUAAAAAGAGAUGAAAUUGGUUUCCAUAAAAGUGUAACUUUGUUUUCAUGCCUAUUCUUGUAAUAAGUUAAAGUUGAAGUGUUUGGGGUCUUUUUAAAUUGAUGAUGAUUUGCUUAUUUGUUGAUGAAGUGAAGUUUGGGUCAAGUGAAUAGUAGUCAUGAAGUGCAACAAUGUUGAAGUUAUAAGUUAAAGAGGCUUAGACAAGGGAGAAAAACUAAUAUGGUCUUACAAUAUUUGAUUAAAAUACUUCAAUGUCAUUUAAAGAUAGAGAGAGUCUUUGUAGAUUAGAAAACUCCCAUGAAAAAUUGUUUUUCCGGUAAGAGUCCUUAAUAAUUUACAUGACGAUAGAUAGUGUAACAUCCCUAAAAUUACUAUAUUUUUAUAAUUAAUUUUUUAACCAUAUAUUACAGUUUUAUCUUAUGACAAAAUAAAUACAAUAAUAUAAUUAAUUUACUUUAAGAAUGAAUCUCAAUAUAAAGAUAAGAAAUAAGUAUAAUGAUAACGUAUGUACAAUGAUGUAAUCAAUUAACUAUAUUAAAAUAAUUUUCAUGUUAACUAGAAGUAUAUCGGUUGCAAUGCUAAAAAAGUAUAAUACUAUUAAAGUCAAAUUAAUAUUAUACAAAGACAUAAAAUAAAAAAUAAAUCAAAUCAAAUAAUUUGAAAUGAAAAAAUGGAAUAACAUGUAGACGAUUAUUGGAGGAAUGAAAAUUUUAUCCAUGACAAAUUAAACAUGAAGAAGUUGGGAGGAAGGUAAAUGUUAACAUGUGAUAAAAAUUAUAAUGAGUGACUAUAGAGAGAGAAAAUAUUAAAAUGUUUUACUCGUGAGUUCUUUAUUUUAUGAAAAUUUUACGUGUGAAAAAUUAAAUAUGAAAAAAUUAUGAGGAAAGUGGACAAGAUGUUAAUUCGUGUUAAAUAAGUAAAAUGAGUGAUUAAAAAAAAGAGAAAAAUAUUAAAAAAAUCUUAUAUAUAAAAUUUUCAAUUUGUGGAAAAAUUACCUUUAAAAAAUUAAAGGUAGAAAAUUUGUGAGGAAGAUAAACAAAUUAUUAAAAAAGUACGAUGAGUUACGGGAGAGAAGAAUAUUAGAGAGAUCUUACUCUCAGUUCUCCUAAAUAAGUAAUAUCUAUCAUUAGUCGAAGUACAAUGGUUGAACGUUUUUACCAAUAGUGGAUCAUGUGCAACAUGUGUGAUUAAACAUCAAGGUUAUAGUUUAAAGAAUUUGAAUAUGCUCAAUCCUUGUUCUGUGAUUAUGCUCAAGUUUCUGGACAAUGUAUGAACUUUAAUAAAUGCAAGUUCUACACUCAAAAUGCCUCUGCUAGAAAGAUCAACAACCUUAAGGAUUGGUUGGGUUUCAAUAGAGGUAGCCUUCCUGUUAAUUACCUGGGAGUUCCCCUGUUUAUAGGCAAGCCUAGAAGGAUUCAUCUGCAACCUUUGGCUGAUAGGAUCAUUAACAAGCUUGCUGCUUGGAAAGGUUCUUUGCUAUCUAUAAUGGGAAGGGUGGAAUUGGUUAGAUCUGUCAUACAAAGCAUGAUGCUGUACUCAUUCCACAUUUAUGCUUGGCCUGCACAAUUGCUCAAAAUAGUUGACUCUAGCAUAAGGAACUUCAUCUGGUCAGGGGAUACCAAAACCAGAAAGAUUGUCACAGUGGCAUGGGCUACAGUUUGCAUUCCUAAAAAAGCUGGAGGGCUUGGCCUGAGAUCCAUAAAGAAAAUCAACCAAGCCUCUCUCAUUAAGCUAGCCUGGAAUAUGCUUAGUUCUAACCAACAGUGGGCUUCUUUCUUUAGGGAAAGGUUUGGUUAUUAUUGGUCAAUCAAAAAGUACUUCAAAUCAUCAAUAUGGCCUGGAAUCAAAAGCAACAUGUCCUUUGCCACUAACCAAUCUGUUAGGCUCAUAGGUAAUGGCAAGGACACCAAUUUCUGGAGGGAUAAUUGGAUAGGAAGUCCUAUAGUGGAUCUUCUCAAUAUUCCUGAUCAUAUUCACCCCAAGCUAAUCAGUUCAGUGGCUGAUUUCUCUACAAAUAAUGACUGGAAAAUUCCUCAGGAGUUGUUUCAAAAGUUUCCAGCAGUGGUUUCUAGUAUUUGCAGCACUAAACUAUCUAAUUACAAAGAUAGAAUCUUCUGGUCAGAUUCUACUGAUGGCUCUCUAUCCCUCAAGGAUGCAUACAAGAGCAUCAUGCCUUCUUCUGAUCCAAGGCAGUGGUGCAAGUUAAUCUGGUCUAGAUAUAUUCCUCCAUCAAAAUCCUUCACCCUUUGGAGGCUUCUAAACAAUAAAAUGCCCUCAGAUGAGAACCUACAAGCUAGGGGAUGCAUUUUAGCUUCUAAAUGCAAUCUUUGUCAUGGCCAUGUUGAAUCAUCUCAGCACCUAUUUCUCUCAUGCCCCUUUGCUGCUGCAAUCUGGGAUUGGUUAUCCAAUCAAUUCCAAAUCUCUAUAGACACAUCUUCUGCUGCUAAUCUCCUGCUUGCUGUCAAAGGAAGUGACCAAGUGCAAUUCCUCAUCACUGCUGCAAUAGUGCUUGUUGUUAACACAAUUUGGCACUGCAGAAAUUUGAGCAGGUUUCAGGACAAACAAUUGCUUCUGCCUCAAGCUAUCAACAGAAUAAAGAGCUCCCUCACUCUGGCUGGUAACUCUUCCUCGGCAAUAGCUAGUUCCUCUCUUCUGGAUUUCUCAAUCAUAAGGUCUCUAAAGGUGCAAGUAAACUAUAGAAAAUCUCCUUCAAUCUUGGAGGUGAAUUGGAAGCUGCCUCCCUUUGGAAGAGUGAAAAUAAAUACGGAUGGGGCUGCUAGAGGCCAUCCAGGGCAUGCUGGAGGGGGAGGAAUAUUCAGGGAUCACAAUGGCUUGUUCAUGGGUGCUUUCUCUACUUAUUUUGGCAUACAUGAUGCUCUCUAUGCUGAGCUUUCUUCAGCCUUUUUAGCAAUCCAAAAGGCUCACAGCAUGGGAUGGCACACAAUUUGGCUAGAAUGUGACUCAUUGUUGGUCACAAAAAUUCUCCUAGGUACUAUGGUGAUCCCUUGGAAAUUAAUGUCAACCCAAAUUAAUAAUUUAUUAUGGGCUAAGCCCCUUGCUUAAAAAAAAAAAAAAAUUUGAAUAAUGCUCCGCUAUAGUUUUUAUCAACCUUAAUGAAUGAUUGAACGGUAUAGUUUUUUCAGCGAAUAUUUAUGCAUUUUCAUUAUGUAUUUACUCACCCAAAAACGUAAUAAGGCAUGAAUGCAUGAGUAAUUAAUUUAUACACCAUGGAGGAUUAAACAUCAAAAUCAUUGAACAUCAAGGUUAUAGUUUAAAGAACUUGAGUAAUAUAUGCUUUGGACGUUAUGGUGUUUUUACCACCGUUAAAGAAUGACUGAACAUUAUAGUUUUCUAAACGAAUAUUAGUGGUUGUCAUUAUUUAAUUUACUCAACAAAAAAAUCUAAUAAGCCAUAUUCUUUUUAGUAAUAACACUUAUUUACUAGUAAUUGAUAUAUCCUUUGUAGUAAUAUGACUUAUUUAGUAAUAAAUGAUUUUGUCGGCUGAAAUGUUUUUAAUAUCCAGUUUUAUGUUAUUACAAAGUUAGUCCUUUUAAAUCCAACUGUCAAAAAAUGGAGAUAUCUAUUUUAAUAAAAAUAUCAGUCUCUUUCGUCAUAUUAAGUAGAUAGUAGAUGUUUUUUCUUAGAAAUUAUUAUAUUAUAUUUCUUUAAUCCGCAUGGUUAAAUGCAAGUUGAAAUAGAUUGUGAUUCAUAUAAAUUUUGUUUACUAUAUCAAAAGUUUUGAGCACCAUUCUCACUCAGAAAUGAGUCUAAAAAAUGAGUCUCAUAAAUGAUCCCCAUGUAUGAAAAUAUUAGUCAUAAAAAAUACCUUUCAUCACAAUCAACCAAUAAAAGAAUAAUUCUACCGCUAAUUUUGUAAAAUUUAUCUCAACCCACUUAAAAUAAUAGAAAGGUAACUAACAACGUUUUUACUAAGUUUAGUAGAUUGUUUUUAUUUUUAUUUUCAUUUCUUAAAUUAAAUAAUAGAUUUCAUAGAUUCCUUUUCCAUUUAAAAAAAUGAUAUUAAAAUUAGGAAUAUUUGUUUAAGAAUGGCAAGAGUUGUGAGAAUUUUGUUGAUGGAUCACACAAAACACAAACCCAAACAAAAUAAAAAAAAUAGAUAACCAAAUUUAAAAACAUAAAAUAACUAUUAUAGGAUAUUUGUAAUAUUUUUAACUAACAAACGAUAAAAUUAGCCAGUUUAAAUUCAAGUUCAAGAAAUGGAGAUAUCAGUAAAAACAACAGUUACUUUUUUUUAUAAUGAUCCAAAAAAGUAUGAUUUUUCUAGAUUUUAUUGCUGCAAGAGAAUAAUGUAUUUUUAGUCUCAAUAGUCUAAGUAGAUGAAAUGACUUUUAUUUUGCAUAUUGUUGAUAUAUAUAUAAAUGUCUAUAUAUUUUUUUCAUAAGUAAUCAAUUGUAUUACAAAAAAAACGUAGAGACAUAAGUUAAAUUUGGUUUUUUUUGCAAAGUCACUUAAAAAAUAAAAGUUUUAACUCAUAAAAAUUUCUAAAUUUAUAAGAGCAUAAUAAUUGAUAAUCAAUUUUUAUAUAACUCUAAAGUUCUUAAGAAAAUCCUUAUGAUGGCACCAUGUGUUUUUGCUUCUUAUUUGUUCUUGAAAACUUCCUAAUUAAUUUUGAUUUAUUUGCCCAUGGUUUUGGUUAUGAAAUAAUAUUGCAUAUCUCUUACCCAUAUAUGAGAGAUACUAGUGACAAAUAUAACAUAAAUAAUUUUUUUUGUAGAAACAUAAAUAAAUAUACGAAAUGAUUAAAAUAUAACUUAAUUUAAUCUAAUACUAUAAAAUUUACACCACUUCAAAGUAAUUAUGAAAUUGAUGUGCAGCUAAUUUAUGCAUUUGAUUACUAUUUUUACCUAAGAAACUUA